GACGAACGCUGGCGGCGUGCCUAAUACAUGCAAGUAGAACGCUGAAGGAGGAGCUUGCUUCUCUGGAUGAGUUGCGAACGGGUGAGUGACGCGUAGGUAACCUGCCUGGUAGCGGGGGAUAACUAUUGGAAACGAUAGCUAAUACCGCAUAAUAGCAGUUAUUGCAUGAUAACUGUUUGAAAGGUGCAAUUGCACCACUACCAGAUGGACCUGCGUUGUAUUAGCUAGUUGGUGGGGUAACGGCUCACCAAGGCGACGAUACAUAGCCGACCUGAGAGGGUGAUCGGCCACACUGGGACUGAGACACGGCCCAGACUCCUACGGGAGGCAGCAGUAGGGAAUCUUCGGCAAUGGACGGAAGUCUGACCGAGCAACGCCGCGUGAGUGAAGAAGGUUUUCGGAUCGUAAAGCUCUGUUGUAAGAGAAGAACGAGUGUGAGAGUGGAAAGUUCACACUGUGACGGUAGCUUACCAGAAAGGGACGGCUAACUACGUG
rnacentral:rRNA from 1 species